AAAAUCUUUAAAUAAAAAGAAUUCCUAAUUAGAAUUAUCAAAGGAUGUUAGAUUUUUGUGAAAGCAGAUGACAUAAAGAGUUGGUCAUUUUUUCCCCAGCAAUGGCUUAUACAGAGAAUUUUUCUUAAAUGUAAGAAAAAAGUUAAUGAUAUAAAAAGUGAUCUUAGCAUUCACCAAGAGGUCAGGAUAUGGGUGACGCUGACAGAACAAUCCAUUUUACUUUUAGAAGAUGCAUUUCUGUGCUUUUGAAGACAGGAAGACAGGUGCUACUUCCAACCGCAGUCAGUAGCAGGCCACACGAUCAAUCACUUUUCACUGCUGGAACUUGGGUAAAUUCAAAAGGAAACAUAAUAUUCUUUGCCCAUUUCCUGACAGCACAGAAGUUGACUUAGCUUUAAAAUCAGUUACUGACAGGACACCUGGGUGGCUCAGUCGGUUAAGUGUCUCCCUUCAGCUCAGUUCAUAGUUCCCAAGUCCCAUGGGAUGGAGAACUGAGUCAGGCCCCCUGCUCAGCAGGGAGCCUGCUUCUCCCUCUUCCUGCUGCUCCCACCGCUUGUGCUCCCCUCCUCUCUCUCUCACUCUUGUUCUACCUCAAUAAAUAAAAUCUUAAAACUCAGUUACUGAGAUGUAACAUAAAAUAAUCACAUUCUACAGAAAACGUGAUUUUUAAAAAUUCAUACAAAUAAACAGUUUAGAAAACCAGCCACUUGAAUAUUUUUUGUCACAAUACUAAAGGUCUUUAUGAAGAAUUACUGAAAGAAUACACUUUCUAGGAGAUUUUAGACCAUGUAGGAAGUUCAAACACAGAGGGCUGAACUAACAGUCAGGUGCUACUGUUUUAAAUCAUCUGUGACUGUUCUAGGCUGGACAUGAAGAGGGUGAGCUCUUGAAAUAUUUGGAGUAUAUCCUAAUCUCUCCUCUAAAUCAUUCUUUGUCCCCACUAAAACUUUCCCACCCUGAGUCCUCUCUCCUCAGUCCUUUAUCUCUGAUUCCAAAGAUGACUAGCUAACUCACCUACUAAGUCCAAGUGCCGAUGGGAGGGGCUUCAACUCAACCUUUUCCUUCCUCUCCAGACAACUUCUUUCCAUUUCAACAACAGCUUACCGGAAACCUUGCCAGCCAACUUCCUUCUCUCACCCCAAGGAUGGUACUAGUGGUAAGAAAUUCAGACUAAGUGGAAGGGAAGGGAAGCAUUAUGACAGAUGUAGAAUUUUUAGAGGGGCAGGUUUUUGAGGGAUCAUGUUGGCAGCCACCUUUGACCUUAGGUCAAAAUGGUAAUCAAGAAAUUGUCAUUCCAAAGAUUAACCAUGACAGUUCCAGAUUUUCUCAGGAUCUGGAUCUUCACAUACCUGCAUUAAUCUUCACUGCUUAUUAUCAUGACCUAAGCCAAAACAGCAACUUCCAAAUAUAAGAAAUCAGAGUAACUUCUGGGGAAUACCAGAUAUGCUUUCUUAGGCAAUUAGUCACUAGUCACUUGUAGUGAUUGGAUCCAAAUAGGGAUCAACACUGAAUUCCAUUUUAAUGCUUGUGUUUUUUACUGGUAUAUAAGAAAAUUAAAUAAAUGUGGGAAAUACUUCAAAGAAAUUAUCUGCAUUUAACCAUUUUAAUUUUCAAAAACAUAAUUUCUUUUCAUCCAUUAAAAUGGCUUUGGAUGAGAAUUUGUACUGCUCCAUCAAUAUAGGAUCAUGCCUUUUAGCAGAAAUUGGUGUACAUUCCCUUCAUAACAACAAAUAAAUAGUUUCCAAUUAAUUGCACAUUUCAGGAUCAAUAAACUCAUGAUGGCUGAGUUAUGAAAUUCAACCACUGUGACUCUUUUUUAAAAGAAAAUUCUAUGACAUGCAGUUCUUUUGGUAGGCGAAUAUUAAGUAGCUGGUGCUAGGAAUAAGAAAAAUGGGAAAAUAUACAGGCAUAUACAAUUGUGGAAGGCUAUAACUUAUAAUUCAUCAUGAAAAGAGAUCCUUAGUGACAAAUUUAGGACAUAUUCUGUUCUGAAUAUAUAGCUGAUACCAUCUUUCCUGGCAAAUCAGUAAGGUAAGAAUUAAAGGAUUGGGGUACUUGGCUGGCUCAGUUGGUAGAGCACGCAACCCUUGAUCUUGGCAUUGUGACUUCGAGCCCCACUUUGGGUGCAGAGCUUACUUAAAAAUGGGGGGGGGGGUGCGCCUGGGUGGCUUAGCCGGUUAAGCAUCUGCCUUCAGCUCAGGUCAUGAUCCCAGCGUCCUGGGAUCGAGCUCUGCGUCGGGCUCCUUGCUUAGUGGGAAGCCUGCUUCUCCCACUCCCUCUCCCUCUCCUUGUGUUCCCCCUCUCGCUGUAUCUCUCUCUGUCAAAUAAAUAAAUAAAAUUUUUAAAAAAUAAAUAAUUUUUAAAAAGAUAACAUUGAAAUCAUGUGGCCCUCCUCAAAAAAAAAAAAAAAAAAAAAAAAUCAUCCUUUAGGAAAGCUUAAUUUGAGGAAAAUUUUCCCCAGAGUGCUCCCUUCAGUUCUUACUACCAGAGGAAAAGUAGGCUUGCCAUAUGAUGAAAGAUAUCUGGUACUAUUAUUUAUCUAGCAUAUACCAAGGGCUUCACCUUGGUAGAUUUUUAUCUAAGGUGAGAAGGGACGGUUUUGACACUCAAUUACUUUGAAAUCCUAGAUUUGUGCCAUAGUAAAGCUUAUCUUGACAAUGGAUGUGGGCCUACAAGUACUGUGGAGUGAGGGGUUUUGAAGCAGGUCUUCAGAACCACCCUCGUGAAGACUCCUGCUCUAAUUUAUAUUGUGUGAUCCAGACAAAUUUCUCAUGUAUUGCCAAACACUGGAAAUUAUGCUUGUCACAGUCUUAACAAAUGCUUAGCAGCUGUGGCUAUUGAUUGCUGGGUCUAGAAUUACGUCCAAUUCGUGUCCUACCACUCUACCGGUGGGGUGGCUGUAUUCUUUCCUCACUGCCUUGUGACAGCAUCUUCUGCCCAGUGUCUUGGCUAUUAGCCCAGCCUUUGUUGUCUGUGAUCACUAGUUUUCGUUCAGACACAGAGCAAUUCUGUCGUUGCUUAACUUAGUUAACAAGCCUCGUCAAAAACACUGAGAGUGAGCUCAACUUCAAUACUCAUGGGCCUUCUGGCCAAUCGGAUUGUCUACAAGUCUACUGAACAUACUUUUUAAAAAGCUGUUCUCGGAUAUUUUCUCCUUCUGUUUAUUGGGGUUAAUGUUUUUCAUCUCUCAUUGUUUUUAAUGGGAUUUACGAUUUUGUAGUAGAGUCAAACUGCUCAUUCUCUGCAGUUUUAGGAAUUCAUCGUGCCUGAGAAGUCUGUCUAGAUACAUGGUACCACAGUUUCUGCUUGAGCACUGAGAUCAGAAGACCCCAUGAUGCUUUUCAUUUCAGCAUACCUUCAGAGUCUGAGCCAAUAAAAAGAAAGGUGUUAGAAUGUUUAAUACAGUAUAUAGCACAUUGUGAAAAACAUUUGUCACUUUUCUGAGUACUCUAAUCAAUUUGUGAAAAAAAGAUGAAAGACAAAAAAAAAGAAUCCAACUAUUAUACUAAAUGCAUUUUUUUAAUACCUGUGUUCAGAUGUCAUCUUUAAAGAACAGGAAGAAAAUGUGUGGGUGGAAUAAGUAUGCUAUUUACCUUUAAUAUGAAUUAGAAAAAGCUCUUUAAAAAAGGUUUGAAUUAUAUUGGUUGGAGAAGAACCAACAUAAGGAUAUUAAUAUUUAUGGAGUAUUUACUAUAUCUAAGGCACUAUGGGUAGGGGGGGAAAGUUAUUUUUACAGUCUUUAUUGACUAAAAAAAAUCUGUAAAAGGCAUUAAAAUCCUCAACUGACAUCAUUUAAUUCAAAGCUCUUCAUCUUUAAGUUAAUUCAUCUCAAAAAAAGCAAAGGUAAGAAAAAAAUUACUAUCAGUAAGAAUGAUAUAUUUCCUUGGUUUGGAAAUUUCCAAACCACGAUAUUCUUCCCUGUCAAAAUACAUUCAUUGGGGAAUUUUUUACUUUAGAAUUUCUUUUGAACUUAAUCACAGUUUUUACAUCUAGCUGGUUUCAUGAUUAAAUAAAAGAGAAGGUGAUUCCCCUCUUGUAUGGAGGAGACCACAUACUUGAAUGGUACUCUAACUUCUAGGUUCUGCUAUAGUAACACUGAAACCAGAAGCUUGUGGGAGAAAUGUCACUUUAUCUGAGAGAGUAAAAUCAGACUCUAACAGGAAGUAGCAAAUUCAUCUUUUUCUUUUUUCUUACUCCACUCAUUGCUGAAGACAAGAAGUUUGAGAAACAGUACUUUUUAAGUCAUACUUCCUUUACGUAGAUCAAAACCAAAGCCACUGGGUGGUGCUUUCCCCACGGGAAUCUCUAAAGAGCAAAUGGGGCCAUUUAAUGAUGGAUUCAUUAAAAGAGGGACCCCACUGCGUAUACCACACCUCUUGAAAAAAAAAAUAAAUAAAUAAAGCUAAAGCCUCAACUGUUUACUACAGAAUAAAAAUCUAGCCCGAAUCUGACCUUUAUAAACCAGGUGAAUUCAGGUUUAAUUUUCACAAAUCAUAAAACACUAUUUUGAAUGUUUUGGCCUUUUACUUAAAUGAUCUAGUUCCCAGGUAAAACUUAAAUCAAAAACGUACUGUCAGAACUCAAGGGUCGCCUCUUUACAUUUUAGCAUGUGGUGACUCUGAAGAGUUGUUUUGGUUUUGUUUUAAAAGAACAUAACACAUAUGCAUAAAUAACUCCGAAUUUAAAAUAUAGAUUUGAAAAUAGUCCUCAAAUACAUUUAAAGGUAAAAAUGCCUUUUAAUCGCCAGUUUCCCUACCCUUUUCAAUAAAUUACUUCCUGGGAUUCAGUGAGCUCACUCUCUGUCUUAAAAGGAAAAUAAAGACUGUUUUUGCUUUCAGAUUUAUAUUCCCUCACUCCAGCUUUAUGACUAUGUGUGCACACACAACCAUUUCUCUCUCUCUUGCAGGUGGCGCAGACCAGGAAGGGGAAAUCUGUGGUUUUAAAUUCUUUAUGCCUCAUCCUCUGAAUGCUGGAGGCUUGCUGUAGGCUGUAUGCUGUUAAUGCUAAUCGUGAUAGGGGUUUUUACCUGCAACUGACUCCUACAUGUUAGCAUUAACAGGGUAUAAUGCCUGUUACUAGCAUUCACUGGAACAAAUUGCUGCCGUGGGAGGAUGACAAAGAAGCAUGAGUCACCCUGCUGGAUCAGCUUAAGACUUCGGGCUUGAUUGUUUUUGUUAAUCAUAAUCUGGUCACCGAGAAGUUCCACCUUCAGUUUUUAAGAGAGUAAGGUCAUUCAAAAGAUUUACCAGCAGCAUUCUGAAUGCAACCACUUUUACAUGAAUCUUCAAGCCCACAUCUUUGUUUUUAUUUUUAGUGAAAAAUGUAUUCGCGUAGUUUUUAAUUCAAAGUUAUGGUGUGUUCACUGUAACUGUUCAGCAGCACUCUUCAUAACUCAGCUGAAAGACAUAUGAACUAAACAUAUUCUGAAACAAAUUUCUAGAAUAUCUCUGUAAUUAAAAAUUAAAAGGACCCUGCAGUUGCAUCAUGGAUGGCCCAGCAACAUUUUUAAACAGAUUCACAAGUUGGCAUUUUUCCCCCCUCAUUUAACAAUUUCCUAUUUAGACAGUUAACACUUUUAUUUGAAUCUUAAGGGGGAACUGUAUGGCUAUGACAAUGAGUUUUUUUAGAAAUGAAAUAUUUUACCAAUUAGCAUGGUAAAUGAUGUCUGAGAUAAACCUCUCUCUUUUCCCUAAAAGGCACAAAGGCUUAAUAAAAAAAAAAAAAAAUUCAUAUUUGAAAAGAAGUCCCAAAUCUAGGUUCUUGAGUUUAAUAGCUUGGCCACAUAAUCAUGUUGUGGGGUCAGAGAAUCCACUUUUCCUCUCAAAGUCUGUGUGUUCAUCCACAGAAUGGGGCUAACAAUUUACAAGGUUGGUGUGAGGCUUAUGUGAAAUAGAACUAAUUUGUAAAAUAGAAUGUGUUACAUUAAUGUUUUAGUAAAAUUCAUCCAAGAACUAGUUACCCCCCACACACACUUUGUUAGAGAAAAGCUAAUGAUUUGAUUUACAGAACUGUUCAGAUUUGGAUUUCUCUGCAGCUGUUUUUUUUUUUCCAUAAUUGACUAUAUCAUUUACAAAUAAACAGUUAAUCAUAAUUGUUAGCAUAUUUAGCGAUACUUGUAUUAGCAACUCUUCUCAACAUUUUGUCAGUUGUAAGCCAAAUAAACCUCUUUUAGUCACUUA